AGAGAGAGAGAGAGAGAGAAAGAGAGCCCGCACAGUGGGGAGGGGCAGAGAGAGUCCCAAGCAAACUCCAUGCUGAGCACAGAGCUGGACACAGCGCCAACCCCAUGACCCCAAGACCACGAUCUGAGCCAAAGUCAAGAAUCAGGUAAUUCUCCAACAGUGACAAGCUAAUCAUGGCAGUGGUUAUCAAAAAG
rnacentral:lncRNA from 1 species